UGGCAAAUCAUAACGUAGCUGUCAACCUGAAGGCCUUUUUCCUGUGGCCGUAAUCAAAUCCCUUGCCCGGAGGCCAUGAGUGCCUUUUAGCAGAGGAAACCACCCAUCGUUUGGUCGUUUGGAGGCUUCGAUCGCUGCACCGCCCCCACCGCUUCCUCGCCGUCCUCUCCUCCCUCCCCGGCCACCGCCACCGCCAAAAAAAAAACAAAGAAAAAGAAAGAAAGAAAAGAAAGAUUCAGGAGGAAGCGCGGCAGAAUCGCCGCGGUUUCAGAAGGCGACCGAAGGUGCGGCCAGCGCCCCUGCGUAGGACGCGUGAGCCCGUCCCCGGCGCGUAUCCGCCGGAGCCCUCCCGCCGCUCGGUGUCGGUGGCGCCGGCGUUGGCGGGCGCCGCCGUGGGGGGAUCACGCCGGAGUGGCCGGCUCCGGUCGGUUCCGUCCCGUUUCCCUGGGACGAGGGAAGGGUAUUCAAUGUGUUUUCUUGGUAAUUUGUCGCGGCGAUCCGCUUCACUGGAUUAUAGCAACAGCAGGCUGGGCCAGGGUGGACAUUAGGUGGCUACACGCUGGUUUCCUUUCUGGAGAUGAAUGAUAUAGCGCUGGAACAUAGACCUACUUUUGUAACUGGCAUUUCAGAGCCAAGUGGAAGGACAUUGUUUCGCCUUCGAACCUGUGCCGAGCCUGUGCCACUCGAGGAGGAGCAUCUGGUACAGCCGUCACCCUUCUGCGUCGGAUGAAUAACCAAGUUGGUUCCAACCACCAGAAAAACUUGAAUGUGGUCUAUCAGGAUCUGACCAAAGAUCAAGGUCUUAGUAGGUUUGACUCUGAGAACCUGUCGGAUGUCUCAACUACUGUUUUUCCACUGAAAGGCAUUAUGGAUCCUACAAAAUUGGUUCAUCUGAAGACCGUACCAUCUGAAAAUGGACUCAAAACAGUUGAAAAUUCAAGCGAUAGUCUGCUUGAUAUGGUUUCUGAAAGCCCACUUGCCGGAAAAGUCAAGUUCAUGUGCAGCUUUGGUGGGAAAAUCUUGCCAAGGCCAAGCGAUGGAAAGCUCAGGUAUGUGGGUGGGGAGACACGCCUCAUCUCCAUUAACAGGAACUUCUCAUGGAAAGAACUCAUGCAGAAAACUCUCACAAUCUGUAGUCAGCCUCAUAUCAUCAAAUAUCAGCUGCCUGACGAGGAUCUUGAUGCAUUGAUAUCUCUUUCAUGUGAUGAGGAUUUUCAGAAUAUGAUGGAAGAAUACGACAAUCUUGAGAAGGCCAAUGGCUCAGUUAGACUAAGGAUAUUUCUUGUUUCUCUGACUGAAUGUGAGGAUCCAUCAUUGGAUUCAAAGAGCUUGGAGAGUGAGCCGGAGUAUCAUUUUGUUGUUGCUGUCAACAAUCUUGCACGACUGGAUCGGAGCAUCAGCGGCAACAAUUUAACGAGCCAUUCGAACCAUCAAUUGGAUAAUUCUCCAGUUCCUUAUGGAGACUCACCUCUGUGUCAAACCAAUACACAAACUGGAGCCAAAGAUUCUCUUGGAGCAGCUCUUAACGAGUCUUCCUCUCAGUUUUUUCUUGCUCCAUACACACAACAAAUGGUUGUGGAGUCAUCAACUACUCCAUCCCCCUGCUCAGGUCAGCAGAGGACGAUGCAACAGUCUAGGAUGCAACCCCCUGCAGAUGAAUCCACCACGAAUGUGAAUAGAAGUGAGGUUUGCAAUAGCUCAAAUUUGAAAGCCAUGCCUCCAGGCCAUAUAAACAAGAAGCAAAAUGAUGCAGACAAAAACAUUGGAAUUGGAUCUCCCAUGCAACAUUCUCAUAUUCAAAGGCAGGUAAAAGGUUUGGCUGGAAAUGAUAGUGACUUGAUUCCAUGUACCAACUAUGGUAUUUCUACUCCAGUGGAAGCAUCCUUGUAUUCUGAAAAGGCCUCUGUGCAUCCAGAGAAUGCAGGAUGGGCACCUGGGCAGCAGGAACACACUGCUCAAAUUCUAGGCAUGACUCAUGCCUUCUCUGAUCCUUUGCUAAAGAAUCUCAAUGAUGUACCUGCAUCCAAUAUGUCAUUACCUGCUGGUUCCUACAUAACCCAAUCAUUUUCCCACAAAAUAUGCCAAAGUAAUGAGUUGGAGAGAACAAGUAAGACUAGGCCUGCAUUUGAAUGUGUUAAGCCCCCUGACAUUGCUCGUACAGAUGAACCAAAUUUCCUUGUUUCUAAUCAUAUUCACCAACGGUACGAUCAAGGAGUUAUUGGCCCAGACAGUUCACAGCCACCAGUAUCUUCUCAACAUGAAAUUUUGUCCAGUAAUGUGACACAAAAAGGUCAUGAUGGUGGUCCUGUAGUUCAACAGCAGGAUAAAAGUGCAGGUCCAAGCGAUGCUCCCUGGAGCAAUUUUGUUGAUGCUGGGUUAAUUUACCCCACACAUGGUGCAAGGUUGUCCUCAUAUGAGUUAGAUGCUCUAGAAAGUUCAGUUCCAAAGCCGAUGCGUGCUACUGAUCAUUCCCUUUCAUAUCUUCUUAAUGUUUCCCAAGGAGGGGGGAAUUCAAAUCAUGGGUCACACAUAGAGAAACCUAAUUCAGGGCUUAUAGAUUAUGGAACUACUGGCUAUGUGCAUGGAAAUGAUAAAGUUGCUCCAGAGCCCCAUAAAGUGUUUCCUAUAAACACUUCUGAAGCUUUUGUAUUGCAAAGAACAAUGGUCAAUGUAGAAUCCAGUGUGCAUCAGAACGGUAAUGUGUGCCAGUCAUCAGUGCAUAACUCUGGUUUGGCUACCACUCCACAUGUUGGGCUGAUUGAUACUGAUCUGAGCAUGAACUUGCAUGGCAAUGGUGGCCUCCCAUUGUCUUCAUCUCAAAAUCCAAUUAUUGAUGGUGUUCCUAGGAGAGAGGAUCCGCAUCAUGAUUGGGGCAAUAUCACCUGCCCUGAAGUAGUAAUUGGAUUUGACCAUACCAUCAUCACUAAUGAAAGCAUGAAGCUACCACACAGGAUGCACGAUAAUGGUCAUAUGAAUGUGCCUGUUAUAGUUGAGGAUGUGACUGAUAACAUGCCAUCAGGCAUUCCAUCAUCCAGCUCGGUUAUUCCUCAGGUUGUAAUAGCUGCUGAAGAACGACAAGAGGUGAUUAUGUCAUCACAAAAGGACGAUGAUACUAGGAGCAACGGUGCAGAGUUUGCUAAUGAGGAUCAUGAUGGAGCUGUAGAUGGGUCCAUUAGUGAUGCUGCUGUUGCUGAACUUGAAGCCAGCAUGUAUGGAUUGCAGAUCAUUAAAAAUGGUGACCUCGAGGAGCUCCGUGAAUUGGGAUCUGGGACAUUUGGAACUGUAUACUAUGGAAAGUGGCGAGGAACUGAUGUUGCUAUCAAACGUAUUAAGAAAAGCUGUUUUGCUGGGCGAUCAUCUGAACAAGAGAAACUUACCAAUGACUUUUGGAGGGAAGCACAGAUUCUCUCAAAGUUACAUCAUCCAAAUGUUGUUGCUUUCUAUGGUGUGGUCCCUGAUGGAACUGGAGGAACAUUAGCAACUGUGACAGAAUUCAUGGUGAAUGGAUCACUAAGAAAUGUUCUUUUAAGGAAAGACAGAUCUUUGCAGAAUGCUUGACCGUCGGAGAAAACUUACCAUUGCUAUGGAUGCGGCAUUUGGGAUGGAAUACUUGCACUCCAAAAGCAUAGUGCAUUUUGAUUUGAAAUGCGAUAACUUACUUGUUAACCUGAGAGAUCCUCAGAGGCCAAUCUGCAAGGUUGGAGACUUCGGCUUGUCAAGAAUUAAGCGCAACACUUUAGUUUCUGGUGGUGUACGUGGCACUCUUCCAUGGAUGGCACCGGAGCUAUUAAAUGGCAGCAGCAGCAGAGUGUCGGAGAAGGUGGAUGUUUUCUCAUUUGGUAUUGUUUUAUGGGAAAUUUUGACUGGUGAGGAACCAUACGCUAAUAUGCAUUGUGGUGCUAUCAUAGGCGGUAUUGUCAAUAACACUCUCCGGCCUCCAAUACCUGAAAACUGUGACCCCGAUUGGCGAAAGCUGAUGGAACAAUGUUGGUCGGCCAAUCCUGAUGUUCGGCCCUCAUUCACCGAGGUCACCGACAGGUUACGAGCCAUGCCACCAGUGCUUCAGUCGAGAGGACAGGCUCCGGGGAACAGAUAAAGCGUGAUAACAUCAGCCAGCAGAUUGUUUAACUGCAAUGGCUGGAUCAACAAUCAGUUUCUGCACUGACCCGCGAGGCUCCUAUAUGUACAUAGAGCACAUAUAUACAUACAUGUAUUUAUUGGUUAUAUGUUGUGUAUUCUAUUUUGACGUAUGUACGCUUCUUAUGUACAUUUUUUUGAACCCCAAAUGUCGCGGGUUUCUGAUGUAAUUACAUGUACCUGAGUUAACAAGUAGUGCAGGCUGCUGCUUGUGGCCUCACGGUUGUUAACAGUUUUGUGUGUAGGUUGUGGUGGUCUGCCAAAUAGACCGCUCGAGCUUUUUUGAGCCUUGGGUUGUAAAAAUAUGAGCUUGACACUUGUAAUAAUUACAUAGUGGCCGAUGAAUUCUUGACUAUACUGGCAUGGCACUUUUGGAACUAUGAAAUUUGAGAAAUAUAUGGAACUUUUUGCUUGGCUGAA